rnacentral:rRNA from 1 species
UACGUAGGGGGCAAGCGUUGUCCGGAAUUAUUGGGCGUAAAGCGCUCGCAGGUGGUUCGUCGCGUCGUGCGUGAAAGACCCCGGCUCAACUGGGGAGUGUCGUGCGAUACGGGCGGACUGGAGGCCAGUAGGGGGAUGCGGAAUUUCGGGUGUAGUGGUGGAAUGCGUAGAGAUCCGGAGGAACACCAGCGGCGAAGGCGGCGUCCUGGACUGGUCCUGACACUCAGGAGCGAAAGCGUGGGGAGCGAUCCGG